UACGGGAGGGGACUAGCGUUGUUCGGAAUUACUGGGCGUAAAGCGCACGUAGGCGGAUUUGUAAGUCAGGGGUGAAAUCCCCGGGGCUCAACCUCGGAACUGCCUUUGAUACUGCAAAUCUCGAGUCCGGAAGAGGUGAGUGGAAUUCCUGGUGUAGCGGUGGAAUGCGCAGAUAUCAGGAGGAACACCAAUGGCGAAGGCAGCUCGCUGGGACGGUACUGACGCUGAGGCGCGAAAGCGUGGGGAGCGAACAGG
rnacentral:rRNA from 1 species